CCGCGGGGCAGGGAACGCGCGUCCCUCCCGCUGCUCCGGCCUCUCGUGCCGCGACCUUUCUGGUAUCUCCACCUACGUCCCCGUUCGCCGUGAGCUCACCACCGCACAGACGGGAUCUCCUCUGCCCCCAGAGCGCGCACGCCGGCACAACCUCGCCCGCCCCCGCGUUCCAGCGACGUGGCAGCGCCGCUGUUGCCUCCCGCCAGCAAAUGAAAGUCGAGCUUGAGAAUAGCCAGCUGAGAGUGUGGUCAGGGCAGAAACUGGGACGAGGUCCUGAGCUACUGGAGACUGGAAUUCCUGCAAAGGCUUUUCAGCAGACAGGCUGUGAGCAGUCUUUAAUUUGGGGGCAGCUCGGACACUUUUGAAGGGCAGCAAGCAAUGAUUACCUGCAAGAAGGAGACCCAAGGACAGAAAUGGAGCUGCAGAAGAACAGGAAAGAAUCAGAAGCAGCUGCAGCCCUCUCCCACAUCCUUCUGCAUUAUUUUGCCAUGCCAGAGGCAGGCAGCUGACCCACCUGAGUAGCUCUGGAAGACUAAUUGGCAGGAUGACUUUCACAGACCUUGACUGUGCAGAUGUUGCAAUCAACUGGAAGAACAUCUGAAAUACUUGAACAUUUGAGUGCAGAUAAGACAUUGUUGUAGUGCAACAAUAAAUUGACUGCCCUGUGAGGAGGUCUCCUCUUU
rnacentral:lncRNA from 1 species